rnacentral:snRNA from 1 species
AUUCCACACGAAUACAUACUAAAAUUGGAACAAUACAUAGAAGAUUAGCAAGGCCCACGAAGACGACACGCAUAUUCGUAAAUCGUUCCAAAUGUGU